UACGAAGGGGGCUAGCGUUGCUCGGAAUCACUGGGCGUAAAGGGUGCGUAGGCGGGUCUUUAAGUCAGGGGUGAAAUCCUGGAGCUCAACUCCAGAACUGCCUUUGAUACUGAGGAUCUUGAGUUCGGGAGAGGUGAGUGGAACUGCGAGUGUAGAGGUGAAAUCCGUAGAUAUUCGCAAGAACACCAGUGGCGAAGGCGGCUCACUGGCCCGGUACUGACGCUGAGGUGCGAAAGCGAGGGAGCAACAGGAUAGAAACCUUG
rnacentral:rRNA from 1 species